UCAUACAAUCAUAGCCAUUCAUUUAUAGAAAUUUUAUAUAACCAUAGCAAAUAAUACAUUAUUAUUUAUCUAUCGUUUGGUUCAGGAUUAAGUAAAAACUUGUUAUUUUAGGGAUAAGAUUAAGUUCAGGAUUAAGGUGGGGUUAGAGUAAUUUUGUGUUUGGUUGAGAAUUGAGUUUAGUCCAGAUAUAAGUAAAAUAGUGUUUGGUUGAAGUAGUUGGAAUAAGAAGUAUAGUGGGUUAUUAUAAAUAGAAAAUAGUGUUUGGUUCGGAUAGGGUGGGAUUAACUAACCCCACCCUCCAAAUUGGAUGUUUGAGAAUAACUUCGGUGUUAAGGAGUUAUUCCACCCCUUAACCCCGAACCAAACGGUGACUUAGAGUUCCACCCCUUAACUCCGAAUCAAACGGUGACUUAGAGUAUAUGUAUUGAAUCUGAUCACUACAAAGAGAAUAACCUCCGCUA
rnacentral:lncRNA from 1 species